rnacentral:lncRNA from 1 species
CCCGCGAGUAAGGGGCGGUGGUAGCGUCUGCUCGGUUACAAAUGGCCCCUCCCGCCCCGCUCGCCCGCUCGCUCGGGCUCGGCGCGGACCCGCCCGGGAGCGCUCCUCCCGCCGGCUGCCGGCGUCCCGCCGCCCUGCCCGGAGCCGGCCGGCGGUCCCCGCCAACCCCCGAGGGCGCUCCUGGCACCCAGCACGGAGGCUUGCCCGCGGAGGUCGCGCCGGGAGACUGGACCGCGGUGGCGCGCGGCUUGCCUUCCCGCAGGUGAACUUUGAUAUGGUGGAUGGUGACUCUUCUCCUGCAUGCGAGUGGUGGUUCAAACCAGUGAAGAGACUUCAGACCUGUGGUGACAGAGGCCUUAAAACCUCACAGGGAGACAUCCUUGGAGCUCCAUGGCCAGGAAGUGCGGGAGGAAACAGGACUUUCAAAGCAGAAAAAGCCCACCAUGUUCCUGCCCAAGCGAGGCCACGCCAGCCGAGGGUACCCUGUGCAGAGGGCCAGUGGGGCCCCAUACAGCCAGCACCUGCCACGUGAGUGAGAUUUCAUUUUCAUCUGAAGAUGCUCUCUAUCAGACUCUCAUCACCACACCAGGGUUCAUAUAAAUCUCCAUUUUUCACAGAGCCGUAGAUUUAGAGCAGCAGUCCCCAAAUCUGGAUUAUCAGAAUCCCUGGGGGUAGGGGUGGAUUCCUGGGCUUCACUUUCAAACCAACUGCAGCAGAAGCUGGGAAGUGGGGAGGGAGGGAGCCCUGAAUCCCACCUCCCCAUCCUGAGCCAGUCAGCCAGGUUGGGGGGAUGUCAGCUGCUGGAGAAAAUCUGCAUUGACCCAUGGACACCCUGGGAGCUGGUUGAUGAGGAAACACACCCUAUUUCUAUUGCCAUCAUCUUUUUCCAGAAGGAAGGGGCAGGAAAAUGGUUUGUUGAUUUGAGACCUCUGAUGUUAUAAAGCUUAGAUAAAUGUCACAUCCUUCCAAUUGCCUUCGCCAAGUGAUCAUUACGUGACGUUAAACAUACACACACACACUCACACACACCAGAAUUAGCUAGCUUGACCUUGCCAAGCAAAUAGUGAAGAGGAAGAAGUAAUAUAAACAAGCCAGAGUGGGAAAUAAAGAGAUAAAAAGCUUUGGUUAAAAUGGGUGC